rnacentral:lncRNA from 1 species
UUGUAAGUUAUGGCUUUACGUCAUCAUUUAAAAAACAUGUUAAAAGAAAAAUAAUACAUGGAACAUAGUAUAUAGUUCAGUAUUUCAGAGAAUUUCAGGAGGCAAGAUCUGUUAAGAAUGCUCUGGAUUUACCAUCUGAAUUUAAACAAAUGUAUUUAUGACAGAAAAAUAAGUUAGGUCUCUCAUUCAUCUGUUCAUUUAAUGGUCUAAGCUCCACUAUCCCACUUCCCAAAUUACAUGCCGAGGCAAGUCAUCUCAAAAAGUGACCUAUUUCAGAUAAAGCUCCUCUCUCUCUACAUAUAUGUUUCCUUUUAAAAA